GCGAUAGCCGGCCAACCAAAAAACAUGCAAGUCGAGCGGAGACGAGUUAUCUGAACCUUCGGGGAACGAUAACGGCGUCGAGCGGCGGACGGGUGAGUAAUGCCUAGGAAAUUGCCCUGAUGUGGGGGAUAACCAUUGGAAACGAUGGCUAAUACCGCAUAAUGCCUACGGGCCAAAGAGGGGGACCUUCGGGCCUCUCGCGUCAGGAUAUGCCUAGGUGGGAUUAGCUAGUUGGUGAGGUAAGGGCUCACCAAGGCGACGAUCCCUAGCUGGUCUGAGAGGAUGAUCAGCCACACUGGAACUGAGACACGGUCCAGACUCCUACGGGAGGCAGCAGUGGGGAAUAUUGCACAAUGGGCGCAAGCCUGAUGCAGCCAUGCCGCGUGUGUGAAGAAGGCCUUCGGGUUGUAAAGCACUUUCAGUCGUGAGGAAGGUAGUGUAGUUAAUAGCUGCAUUAUUUGACGUUAGCGACAGAAGAAGCACCGGCUAACUCCGUGCCAGCAGCCGCGGUAAUACGGAGGGUGCGAGCGUUAAUCGGAAUUACUGGGCGUAAAGCGCAUGCAGGUGGUUUGUUAAGUCAUAUGUGAAAGCCCGGGGCUCAACCUCGGAAUUGCAUUUGAAACUGGCAGACUAGAGUACUGUAGAGGGGGGGUAGAAUUUCAAGGUGUAGCGGUGAAAUGC
rnacentral:rRNA from 1 species